rnacentral:rRNA from 1 species
AUGGAGGCCAUGAGAGGCGGCAAAUUCCUCCAGAAGUUCCGGCUCUACGAAACCAGAUCGAAAUUCUAUCUUGUCGGAAGAGACAAGAGCAGGACUCUUUGGAGGGUGCUAAAGAUUGACCGGCUGGAGUCUACUGAUUUGGGUAUCCAGGAGGAUCCUACUAGUUAUACUGAGAAUGAAUGCCAAGAACUACUAUGGCGGAUUCACGAGGGAAAUAGGUUGACUGGCGGGCUGAAAUUUGUCACAAAAUGCUAUGGAAUAAUUGGUUUUAUGAAGUUUCUUGGUCCUUAUUACAUGGUUAUAAUUACCAGGAGAAGAAAAGUUGGCACAAUCUGUGGCCAUGAUAUUUAUUCAAUUGGCAAGAGCGAAAUGAUCGCAAUUCCAUGUCCUAUAGUCUGCCCCAAUGUGGCUAAUUCUAGGGAUGAGAACAGAUAUAAACGACUCCUUUGCUCUGUCGAUCUUACGAAGGACUUCUUCUUCAGCUACUCUUACAACAUCAUGCGCAGUCUUCAGAAGAACAUAAAUGACAAAAAUACUGGACAUGUUGUUUAUGAAACAAUGUUUGUAUGGAAUGAAUUUUUGACACGAGCAAUGCGGAACCAUCUCAAGAAUACCGAUUGGACCGUGGCCUUGGUCCAUGGAUUUUUUAAACAGUCGAAGCUGUCAGUAUCUGGGAAGGAUUUUUGGUUGACACUUAUAGCCAGACGCUCGCGUCAUUUUGCUGGAACCAGAUUCAUGAAACGAGGUGUUAAUGAAAAGGGUAGGGUUGCCAAUGAUGUUGAGACUGAACAGAUUGUUUUUGAAGACACACCUGAUGACAUCCCAAGUCAAAUAACUUCUGUUGUACAACAUAGAGGAUCAAUACCUCUUGUCUGGUUUCAGGAAACUUCAAGACUGAAUAUUAGGCCAGAAAUCACGUUAAAAUCAGAUGUGGACUACAAGGCCACCCGCCUUCAUUUUGAAAACCUUGUUCUUAGAUAUGGGAACCCUAUAGUCAUCUUAAACUUAAUCAAGACUCGUGAGAAGAAGCCUCGUGAAUCUUUGCUCCGUGCAGAAUUUGCAAAGGCUAUCCAUUACAUAAAUAAGGGGUUACCGGAUGACAAACGUCUUAAGUUUUUACACAUGGAUCUGAGUAAGCUUUCUCGAAGGAAAGGCGCCAAUGUGCUUGGACUGUUAAACAAAGUAGCAUCAGAUGUGUUGGAACUAACGGACCUCCUCCAUUGUGAGAUAACUACAUCAUCAAAACCUUUGGAUGCUUCAAGUGGACAAGGGCCAUGUGAUAUCAAAAUCAAUGAUGAUUUCUGCGCAGCUACGAUGGUACCCCUUUUGCUACAGAAGGGUGUCCUCAGGACUAACUGCAUAGACUGCUUAGACCGCACAAAUGUCGCACAGUUUGCAUACGGAUUAGCUGCUUUAGGGCGUCAACUUCAUGUGUUGAAGCUCACUGAAGAACCUAAGAUUGAUCUGCAUGAUCCUUUGGCCGAUGAUCUGAUGGAUUUCUAUGAAAGGAUGGGUGAUACAUUAGCUAUCCAGUACGGUGGUUCUGCUGCUCACAACAAGAUCUUCUGUGAGCAAAGAGGGCAGUGGAAGGCAGCAACCCAAUCCCAGGAGUUCCUUCGAACCCUUCAACGUUACUACAAUAAUGCUUACACAGAUCCUGAGAAGCAGGAUGCUAUAAAUGUAUUCUUGGGUCAUUUCCAGCCUCAACAAGGCAAACCUCCUCUGUGGAAGUUGGACUCAGAUCAGCAUUACAAUAUCGGCCGGCAAGGAACUUUAAGUGAAGAAACUGGAAGAUUCAUAAAGAGGUCGCUCUCGGAUGGAAAUAUUCUAUGUGAAAACAGCGCACCCGUGUCUGACCGUAAUGUCGGCGAAAACAACACUGCGUCAGAAUUACUCCCUGUGCAACAGCUGGAUGAUAUUAGAGAGCCUACUGAUUCUGCACCAGAGAUCUAUAUGUGUGAAACAAACCCAUGCCCCAGUACAAAAUAUAGCACGAUGCCUGGAAGACACUCCAUUUCGCAGGAACGACAGAGUUACUUAAAAAGAUUAGGUUAUCCGGAGUUGCAUUCUUCAAAUUUUCUCGAUCUUGAUUUGUUAUCGUCUUCAGGAAAUUCUUGUGACGAAGAAGCCUUUGAGAGGUUCUUCAAACUAUCAUUUGCAGGUCAUCGAUCAUCCAUUCACCUUUGGAUGGUAUCAGUGUUGGAUCUACUACUACUUACAGUGAGCCAGGACACAAUGAUGAGGGAAGGGAUGACACUGACCUGUCGCGCUCAAGCAGCCAGCUCUCAGACUCACGCGACUAUUCUGACCGCUUUGCUCAGUGGGUGGCUAAUGGAGGCAUGCUUUGCUACUAAGUGCUAA